rnacentral:rRNA from 1 species
GCCAGACUCCUACGGGAGGCAGCAGUAGGGAAUCUUCGGCAAUGGGCGAAAGCCUGACCGAGCAACGCCGCGUGAAUGAAGAAGGCCUUCGGGUUGUAAAGUUCUGUUAUAAGGGAAGAAAGGUGAUAGGAGGAAAUGACUAUCAAUUGACGGUACCUUAUGAGAAAGCCACGGCUAACUACGUGCCAGCAGCCGCGGUAAUACGGAAGGUCCGGGCGUUAUCCGGAUUUAUUGGGUUUAAAGGGAGCGUAGGCCGGCUUUUAAGUCAGCUGUGAAAGUCCGCGGCUCAACCGUGGAAUUGCAGUUGAAACUGGAGGCCUUGAGUGCACACAGGGAUGCCGGAAUUCAUGGUGUAGCGGUGAAAUGCUUAGAUAUCAUGAAGAACUCCGAUCGCGAAGGCAAGUGUCCGGGGUGCAACUGACGCUGAGGCUCGAAAGUGCGGGUAUCAAACAGGAUUAGAUACCCCAGUACG